rnacentral:misc_RNA from 1 species
AGUGUUUAUUUGACCAACCACACCAGGUUCUGGGUCAGGAUCAUGCAAAGCAACAUGCUGCCCUAUAAGCAUACGGAUUCCAAUUCUUGACAUGUAAAAACGGUCAAGAAAUUGAUGAAUUUCUGCAAGCUCGCUGCGCACAACCUUAGGAUUCAUAUCUUUCUUCAGCUGUUGUACACCUAAAGCCAUUGCUGGAACCACAUUGUUGUGCCUCACUUUUAUCAUCUUUAUCAUUUGAGUGAAAGCCAGCUCA